UCAAUAAGCGGAGGAAAAGAAACCAACAGGGAUUGCCUUAGUAACUGCGAGUGAAGCGGCAAGAGCUCAAAUUUGAAAUCUGGCGCCUUUGGCGUCCGAGUUGUAAUUUGGAGAGGCAUCUUCGGGUGCGGCGCCGGCCUAAGUUCCUUGGAACAGGACGUCAUAGAGGGUGAGAAUCCCGUUCUCGGCUGGCUGUCCGCGUCCAUGUGAAGUGUCUUCGACGAGUCGAGUUGUUUGGGAAUGCAGCUCAAAAUGGGUGGUAAACUCCAUCUAAAGCUAAAUACUGGCGAGAGACCGAUAGCGCACAAGUAGAGUGAUCGAAAGAUGAAAAGCACUUUGAAAAGAGAGUUAAAAAGUACGUGAAAUUGUUGAAAGGGAAGCGCUUGAGACCAGACUCGGCGGGAGGUAUUCAUCGUCCCUUCUGGGGCGUGCACUUGCCUCUCGUCGGGCCAGCAUCGGUUGCGGCGGCGGGAUAAAGACCCGGGGAACGUGGCUGCUCUCGGGCAGUGUUAUAGCCCCGGGUGUCAUGCCGCCUGCUGCGACCGAGGACCGCGCUCGGCU
rnacentral:rRNA from 1 species